UACGUAGGGUGCGAGCGUUAAUCGGAAUUACUGGGCGUAAAGUGUGCGCAGGCGGCCGCGCAAGUCGAGUGUGAAAUCCCCGAGCUUAGCUUGGGAAUUGCGCUCGAAACUACGUGGCUGGAGUGUGGCAGAGGAAGGUGGAAUUCCACGUGUAGCGGUGAAAUGCGUAGAUAUGUGGAGGAACACCGAUGGCGAAGGCAGCCUUCUGGGCCAACACUGACGCUCAUGCACGAAAGCGUGGGGAGCAAACAGG
rnacentral:rRNA from 1 species